UGCUGUUGCAAUAGGUCUGGGUGGGGCCUCAGAUUCUACAUGUCUAAUAUGCUCUCAGGUGAUGCCUGUACUGAUGGUGCCA
rnacentral:miRNA from 1 species